rnacentral:lncRNA from 1 species
AUGCUUCCAGUUCCAGUCCUGCAUCGCUUCGUUCUGUGGAGGGUCGUGACUAGUUCUGUCUUCGUCUGUCACGGCAUAGCUGUACGUCGGUGCUGGAUGGAUGCCAACGUAUGGGAGCGAAGGCCUGUGUGGAAAGGAAAAGAAGAUCUUGAGAGCGGGAGUGGCUGUCAAAGCUAAGUAUCUGCUGACGCGUUCGAUGGUCAGAAGUAUUUGUGCUGUUGAGGCUCCUUGUUUAGGGAUGGGAGUCCUCUAAACUCUGCUCGUUCUUAACGGGUGUGUGAGGGAGCUCAUUGUAUGAAUGGAGUGUGUUUCCCCUGGAGGAAUGCUGAUUUCUGGCAGAUUUUCCUAACUAGAGAUGCUCUGUUCUCAGUUCUUCUCUCUUACAUGGCACUGGAUUUGCAUGACAGGUCACCACUUCAUCCUUUGUCCAUCUUCUAAAUGGUUGUGGUUUUCCGAGGAGGAUGUGAGCAUCCUAGUUAGCGAUGCCUCCCUGUGGCGGAGGGAGAGGGGGAGGGCUACCAGUAUUUUAGAAGCGUAGCCAUUUUCCAUGUGGAUGAAAGUGUUCUCUGGGGGGGCGGGGUGUAAUAUGUAGUAGGUGUUCCCUCUCAAGGAAGCCGUAUGCAGGUGAGGUCAUCUUUCAUAUUGUGUAGUUGGGAGCUUUGCGAGUAGGUUUUCAGUCAAGCUUUGUAUUUGCAGAUGCGUCCAUAUCUGGUACUGCAUCACCUCGUUCUGUGGAGGGUUGUGACCACUUCUAUCUUCGUCUGCCACGGCAUAGAUGUAUGUCUGUGCUGAAUGGAUGCCAAUGUAUGGGAGCGAAGGCCUGUGUGAAAAGGAGAUUGGGAGCGGCCGUCAAAGGGGGAUCUGAGUCCAGAACUGAGGGAAUGGGCUGUGGCAAGUGCUUGGUUUACAUGGUUCCUGGUAAUGGUGGUGCCAGUUGGAGCAGAGGAACCGCUUGCAUCCAUGAGGAAGCUAUUUUCACCUGUGCAGUCAGAAGGUAUCAGUGUCACUGGAGAAGACUUUUGUGUACUUCGUUUGGAAGAAUCGGGCUUAGAUUGUGUAUAUUUUUGGGUUGUGAUGUGAAGUAUCGUCUGUUUGAUGGCUAGAAUGUAAUAGAGCAGCGGGGCUGGUGUCACUGUGUUCUGGUAGAUACCAGAGCUACUGAUGACAAUGCCAUUUAAUGAUAUUUCUGCAAUCCCAGUUUGAGAGGUUGGGUUCAUUUGUUUGGUCAGUUAUGUGAAGUAGUUCCUGUAAUUACUUGCACAAAAUUAAACCACUCCUUUCAAAAGAAAGUUAGUUUGCCUCGGAAUGUUCUAGCCAUCAAAGUUGCAAGAGGACACUGUUAUGGGUUGUAUCAUUUUUUGUGCAGUCUGAAGCGUUUGUCAAUUGUUUUCAGAUUGUUGCGUAUGUUGUAUGUGUAGAACUGUAAUGUAUAGCUUGGGUUGUGGUUGGAUGACUACUUUUAGCACCCUAUAACAUAGAUGACAAAUCACUGCAGUGACUUAGAAACCAUUGUGCCGUGCCCUCAAACAGCGAGAAGACUGGUAACAACAUCAAUUUGUCAGCCUUUUGGCUGUUUCGCUGCACUGCACAAUGGUUGUGACUGUCCUGGACAGUCGUUGACUUAACUUUUUGUAGGUGGAGGUGCUGUAGAGGGAGAAUGCUGGCCAGUUGCUAAGUGAGGUAUGAUCGAGCCCCAUUCCCACCUUUCACAAUACAUGCAAGGUUUUGUACCGGUUUUGAAGUAUAUGGAAAUGAAAAGCCAGUGUUGCUUUGUGUUAUGAUGAUAUGAAUCACCAUAUACCAAAUGUAUGUGAAAUAAUAUAUUGUCACUGAAUCUUUGUACAGUACUGUACAGUCUAGACUGUUCAUGUAAUAGAUUCCUUGCCUGGCAACACAUUGAAUAGUCUGCUAUAUUAAAGCAUUCAACAAAAAAUCCAUCUCCCUGUCUUUUGGUGUUGGUUUUUUUUUUUUUUUUUUUUUUUUUUUUUUUCUGAUCUCAGAGUAUUUGUGGGACAUGUGUGCCUACAUGUCCUAGCCAAAGAGAGGGUGCCCCCAAUGUGCUGAAAUGGCAGGGGUGUGGGUGGGUGAGGGUUUAGGGUGAGG